rnacentral:rRNA from 1 species
CCUACGGGAGGCAGCAGUGAGGAAUAUUGGUCAAUGGGCGGGAGCCUGAACCAGCCAAGUCGCGUGAGGGAAGACGGUCCUAUGGAUUGUAAACCUCUUUAGGCGGGGAGCAAUGCCGGGCACGUGUGCCCGGAGGGAGAGUACCCGCAGAAGAAGCAGCGGCUAACUCCGGGCCAGCAGCCGCGGGAAUACGGAGGAUGCGAGCGUUAAUCGGAAUUACUGGGGGUAAAGCGCUCGUAGGCGGUAUGGACAGUCAAGGGUGAAAACCCCGCGCUCAACGUGGGAACUGCCUUUGAAACUGGCAAACUGGAGUGUGUGAGCGGAUAGUGGAAUUCCAGGUGUAGGAGUGAAAUCCGUAGAUAUCUGGAGGAACAUCCGUGGCGAAGGCGACUAUCUGGCACAUAACUGACGCUGAGGAGCGAAAGCGUGGGUAGCAAACAGGAUUAGAUACCCUGGUAGUC